rnacentral:rRNA from 1 species
AUACGGAGGGGGCUAGCGUUGUUCGGAAUUACCGGGCGUAAAGCGCGCGUAGGCGGGCUGGUCAGUCAGGGGUGAAAUCCCGGGGCUCAACCCCGGAACUGCCUUUGAUACUGCCAGUCUAGAGGUCGAGAGAGGUGAGUGGAAUUCCGAGUGUAGAGGUGAAAUUCGUAGAUAUUCGGAGGAACACCAGUGGCGAAGGCGGCUCACUGGCUCGAUUCUGACGCUGAGGUGCGAAAGCGUGGGGAGCAAACAGGAUUAGAAACCCUAGUAGUCC